rnacentral:rRNA from 1 species
GACGAACGCUGGCGGCGUGCUUAACACAUGCAAGUCGAGCGGACGGACCUCUUUCGUGGGUUACUCAUGUUAGCGACGGGUGGGUGAGUCAUACGUGGCCAACCCAUGUAUAUGACUGAAAUUAAUUCGACAAAGCGUAGUUACUACCGGAUAAUAUUUUGAACCGCAGGGUUCUAAAGUGUAUGACGGUCUUGCUGUCACUUAUCGAUUGAUCCGCGCGUCAUUAGGUGAUUGGUAAGGUAACGGCUUACCAAGUCAACGAUGGAUAGCCGACCUGAGAGGGUGAUCGGCCACACUGGGACUGAGACACGGUCCAGACUCCUACGGGAGGCAGCAGUAGCGAAUCUUCCGCAAUGGGCGGAAGCCUGACGGAGCAACGCAGCGUGAGUGAUGAAGGUCUUCGGAUCGUAAAACUCUGUUAUUAGGGAAGAACAUAUGUGUAAGUAACUGUGCUCAGCUUGACGGUACCUAGUCAGGAAGCCACGGCUAACUACGUG